rnacentral:rRNA from 1 species
UACGUAGGGGGCAAGCGUUGUCCGGAAUCAUUGGGCGUAAAGCGCGCGUAGGCGGCUCGAUCAGUCUGCUGUGAAAGUCAAAGGCUCAACCUUUGAAUGCCGGUGGAUACUGUCGAGCUAGAGUCCGGAAGAGGCGAGUGGAAUUCCUGGUGUAGCGGUGGAAUGCGCAGAUAUCAGGAGGAACACCAACGGCGAAGGCAGCUCGCUGGGACGGUACUGACGCU